rnacentral:misc_RNA from 1 species
UCGUAACAAGGUUUCCGUAGGUGAACCUGCGGAAGGAUCAUUAGUGAAUAUAGGACGUCCAACUUAACUUGGAGUCCGAACUCUCACUUUCUAACCCUGUGCACUUGUUUGGGAUAGUAACUCUCGCAAGAGAGCGAACUCCUAUUCACUUAUAAACACAAAGUCUAUGAAUGUAUUAAAUUUUAUAACAAAAUAAAACUUUCAACAACGGAUCUCUUGGCUCUCGCAUCGAUGAAGAACGCAGCGAAAUGCGAUAAGUAAUGUGAAUUGCAGAAUUCAGUGAAUCAUCGAAUCUUUGAACGCACCUUGCGCUCCAUGGUAUUCCGUGGAGCAUGCCUGUUUGAGUGUCAUGAAUACUUCAACCCUCCUCUUUCUUAAUGAUUGAAGAGGUGUUUGGUUUCUGAGCGCUGCUGGCCUUUACGGUCUAGCUCGUUCGUAAUGCAUUAGCAUCCGCAAUCGAACUUCGGAUUGACUUGGCGUAAUAGACUAUUCGCUGAGGAAUUCUAGUCUUCGGAUUAGAGCCGGGUUGGGUUAAAGGAAGCUUCUAAUCAGAAUGUCUACAUUUUAAGAUUAGAUCUCAAAUCAGGUAGGACUACCCGCUGAACUUAAGCAUAUCA